rnacentral:lncRNA from 1 species
AACUGGCCUCCCAGGAACCAGCCGAUCUUGCCCGUCCUGAAGUCACAGUCCCAGACAGUAUGGUAAGGAGUGUCCCAAACUAGUGUGUCACGGGCCAGCGGCCCCCAGAAGGCGGCCGGCUCCUGGGCUGCCUGAGCGCUCAACGCGGGGUACGAGCCUGGUUGCGCUGCUGCAGGAACGCAGCCCGGGAGUCGGGUGGCGGUCGAGCGGGACACGCUCAGUGACCACCCCGAUUGUCCAGAGCGCCCUUGCAGGCCACGCAGCAGUCGCCCCACACCGCUGCCGAGGCUGCGCGCCGCCAUCUCGCCCGACGCCCCACGCGGGUGCGGUAGCCUGAGCGCCCCUAAGAGUCUCCACGGCCCCGCCCCGGCUCCGCCCCCGCGGCCACCACCCACUACUUCUCUCCCGGAGAAGCAGCUUCCUUGAGCCUGCCCCUUCCCACCUCUUCCCUCCUGGACAGGGACUCCGGGAGGUGGGUAGAACUAGGUUUUGUUGUGCGCCCAGUCCGGGGCUAGCCCGCGCUCUCGGCUUCAGUUUCCUGGGUUUCUGCGAUCUCUUUUUACAGACCAAAUAACUUUCUGGCUGGCGACAGAAGCUGCAAGUACACGGUUGGCCCAGCCUCCGGACCUGGGACACAGGCAGCGCUCUGAGAUAAGAUUGGGAACGCGUCUAAGUGGUCAUAAGAGCGAAGCAGCUCACAGAUGGUGUGGAUGAACCGUCAGUUGGUUCAGCAUACCAUAGAUUGAAGUCAAAGCUUUCCUCCUUAGGAGACCUUCUGAGAGUAAAGCCCUCUCCCAAUGGUGUGGGCCUGUACAACCAUGCCACACACACAUAAAUCACCCGCAGCGGGCUAAAGGGCUGAUGAGCAACCCUGGGGGCCUUCAAACAGGAAAGGAGGUGCUAUGAAGGCCUGAGUCCAGUAACAAUAUUUUGGUUACCAGCUGCUGACCUCUGCCAGGGCAGGUACCACUUCCUUGGGACCCUUUGCUGAUUCCAGGUGGUGGGAAGCUAUGGGAAAGAAUAAAUCAAUGUCCAUAUCACAUUGGGCCUCGUUGACCAUCAGCUCCGUCAUGAAGUUCAAGUUUUUGUUACUGAAUAAUCAAGAGUAAAAAGAAAUGUGUCUCUACCAAAUACUUAAGAAGUGAAUAAAUAAU